rnacentral:tRNA from 1 species
AAUAUAGUGGCUGAAUAAGGUGUUAGACUGUAAAUCUAAUUAUGAGAUUAACAUUCUCCUAUAUUA